UUUGCAGUGCUGUUCUUCAUUGGUCCUUCUUUUCCUAUUUUAUAAACUAUGAUUUUAAGAACUUUGAUAUAUCUCUGCCUUUGGAGGAGCCAAAUAGUCUGAAUUCUCUAAUUUAAGAGAAUUCAGAAAUAGAGAGAAAUAUUGCUAUUACUAAUAAUCUGUGUUUUUUUCAUUGUUCCAUCUUAAAAAUAGGACCUAAAUAACAUCUCUAAAUGCUUUCUUACCUAAACUAGAACUAUAAUGAAAGCAUUAUAAUCUGGCAUUACUGAAGAAAAGUAAACAGACAAAGAAUACAUCAGUGUCAAUUGCCAUUUGUGUGACAGAUUUGCACCAGCUGCAAUCAUGCUCAUCAACUUAUUAAAAAAUAAAGAUACUCCUCAUGAUAGCCACAGUCCAGCAGUCUUGAUGCACGCUAACCUGGACAAACAUAUUACAAAGUGACACCGUUAACAUCUGUGUUUCAGACAGCCGAGUGCUGAAGUCAGCUCGGUGUUCCACCCACGCUGCUGCCAGGCGUUGCCUCUUGCUUUCUAUCACCUACAACUAAAAGAAGUUCAGGUGGAGCUGAGAAGCUCGGAUUUGUUACUUGGUAGUCCUGCA
ensembl:lncRNA